rnacentral:rRNA from 1 species
CAGUAGCCACGGGAAUACGGAGGGUGCAAGCGUUAAUCGGAAUUACCGGGCGUAAAGCGCACGCAGGCGGUCUGACAAGUCAGAUGUGAAAUCCCCGGGCUUAACCUGGGAACUGCAUUUGAAACUGUCAGGCUGGAGUCUUGUAGAGGGGGGUAGAAUUCCAGGUGUAGCGGUGAAAUGCGUAGAGAUCUGGAGGAAUACCGGUGGCGAAGGCGGCCCCCUGGACAAAGACUGACGCUCAGGUGCGAAAGCGUGGGGAGCAAACAGGAUUAGAUACCCCUGUAGUCCCUGUCUCUUAUAA